rnacentral:rRNA from 1 species
GAUGAACGCUAGCGACAGGCCUAACACAUGCAAGUCGAGGGGCAGCACAUGAGUAGCAAUACGAUGGUGGCGACCGGCGCACGGGUGAGUAACACGUAUGCAACCUGCCUUCUACUAUGGGAUAACCCGUUGAAAGACGGACUAAUACCGUAUAAUACAGGGGCUCCGCAUGGAGAUAUUUGUUAAAGAUUUAUUGGUAGAAGAUGGGCAUGCGUAUGAUUAGAUAGUUGGUGAGGUAACGGCUCACCAAGUCAACGAUCAUUAGGGGUUCUGAGAGGAAGGUCCCCCACACUGGUACUGAGACACGGACCAGACUCCUACGGGAGGCAGCAGUGAGGAAUAUUGGUCAAUGGACGAGAGUCUGAACCAGCCAAGUCGCGUGAAGGAAGACGGUUCUAUGAAUUGUAAACUUCUUUUGUGCAGGAAUAAAGUGGGUUACGUGUAACCUUUUGUAUGUACUGUACGAAUAAGGAUCGGCUAACUCCGUGCCAGCCGCCGCCGUAACAC